CACGUAGGGUGCGAGCGUUGUCCGGAAUUAUUGGGCGUAAAGAGCUCGUAGGCGGUGUGUCGCGUCGGCCGUGAAAACCUGCAGCUUAACUGUGGGCCUGCAGUCGAUACGGGCAGACUUGAGUUCGGCAGGGGAGACUGGAAUUCCUGGUGUAGCGGUGAAAUGCGCAGAUAUCAGGAAGAACACCGGUGGCGAAGGCGGCCUGCUGGGCUAUGGCUGACACUGAGGCGCGACAGCGUGGGGGAGCAAACAGG
rnacentral:rRNA from 1 species